UUUUGACCCAGUUGUUGUGGUGGCGGAGAUGUAACCAAACUGUGAGCUACGCGCUUUUUGCUCCAUUUGCCCACUAUUUUAUUUUGUCGUUCAGACUACCUCACAUGGUGUACAAGUAUAAUAAAUGUCAACUACUUAAGUGGAAUUCCAGACUAACUCGUCAUUAGCAGCGGAUAAGAUCCACAAAGGUGGGAAUUACCCCAGAGCAUCCGUGAAUUGCUCUGGCCCUGGAGCUAGCAAGUGAAGGCUCCCCUGAGCCGUCUCGACUGCGGUCUGGAGGCGAGGCAGGAAAGGUAACACUGGGGGCUCGUCCAGUAUAAAGGAACCAGAAGGUCAACUGGCGAAGUGGCUCGAGAAGUUUGGGGAGUAUAACUUACAUCGUUCAGGACGCCACCACGAAAAUGCUAACGUCCUGUUCAGGAGGCCCUGCCGCCAGACUUGCUCCUGCACUAUACAGGACCAAACCCAGAACAAUGACUGUUUCAGGCACCAGGAAGUGCAGUGUGGCCUCGGUCCCAGCAUAGCUGAUUACGAGGUGGAAUCAAUCAAUCAAAUGUAUUUAUAAAGCCCUUUUUACAUCAAAGCCCUUUUUACAUUCAACAUGUCGAGUCUGAUGUGAUGAGAGAGAUGAGCGGCGUUAUCGAUAGCCAAUUUGAACCAUAACAUAACAUCAGAUACAGAUACACAAUUCAUCAUUUAUCAUUAUGAAAUGGAUGGGUCACAUUUAUUGAAAUUAUGCCAUUCUAAGUGACAAUUAACUGAAUCGGUGUCAUCAUGCUUGCACCUCCUUCGUCUGAUGACGGAACCGACAACGCCUGAAGAAAAGCGUUGCCUCACCAGGGUCUUUGCAACGUUUCCUCUCUGCGUGACGCCGCCAGACUUGCCCCUGCACUGUACAGGACCCUACCCAGAACAAUGACCAUUGCAGGCACCAGGAAGUGCAGUGUGACCUCGGCCCCAGCAUAACUGAUUACACUGUGGAAUCAAUCAAUCAAUCAAAUGUAUUUAUAAAGUAAUUUUUUACAUCAGCCGAUGUCACAAAGUGCUAUACAGAAACCCAGCCUAAAACCCCAUACAGCAAGCAAUGCAGGUGUAGAAGCACGUGGCUAGGAAAAACUCCCUAGAAAGGCAUGAACCUAAGAAGAAACCUAGAGAGGAACCAGGCUCUGAGGGGUGGCCAGUCCUCUUCUGGCUGUGCCGGGUUGAGAUUAUAAUGGUACAUGGCCAAGAUGUUCAAACGUUCAUAGAUGACCAGCAGGGUCAAAUAAUAAUAAUAAUCACAGUGGUUGUAGAGGGUGCAACAGGUCAGCACCUCAGGAGUAAAUGUCAGUUGGCUUUUCAUAGCCGAUCAUUCAGAGUUAGAGACAGCAGGUGCGGUAGAGAGAGAGAGUCGAAAACAGCAGGUACGGGACAAGGUAGCACGCCCGGUGAACAGGUCAGGGUUCCAUAGCUGCAGGCAGAAUAGUUGAAACUGGACAGGGCCAACCAGGCAGGAUAUACCGACAGAUACUACCUCAUGUGUUCCGGACGGACAGAAUGAAGCAGAUGCAUGACGGCCCAGUAACCAGUCACUUUGGCGUGGAACGAACACUUGCCCGGCUGCAGACAAGAUACUACUGGUACCGAAUGAGAGAGGAUGUCACACUAUGGUGUCGUACAUGUACCAGCUGUGCCGCUAAAGCCAGACCUUCGACGAAGCCCCAAGCACCUAUGGGCACUGUUCUCGUGGGAGUACCUAUGGAGAGGAUCGCCCCAUGAACAAGACAGAAUGCUAGAAUCGCUACAUAUUGGUGGUUCAAUACUAUUUCACAAAGUGGGUGGAAGCCUACCCUCUACCCAACUAUCAAGCCGCAACAGUGGCAGAAGUUCUGACAGCUGAAUGGGUGUGUCGCUAUGGAGCCCCACAGACACUCCACAGCGACCAAGGCUCCAACUUCAAAUCAGAAGUCUUCCAAAGAAUGCGUGAACUGUUAGGAAUCGAGAAGACUCUCACAACCCCUUUCAGACGGCAAUCUGACGGGCAAGUCAAAAGAUUUAAUGCCAUUCCACAGGAGAUCUUAGCCACUACCACAGAACGUUGUCAUUGGGACUGGGACCUUAAACCCCCUGAAGUAUGUGGGUCUGUAAAUUGUGACUGUUUUAUAUUCUAUGCAUUGAGACGUGGGCCAUGUUUUGGGAACUGUGUUAUUUUGUAUGGGAAGAAAAACUGGUAUUUUUGUAAACAGAAGGAAACAUUUUUGAAAUAUAACAGUUGUUGUAAAUUGCAAGUGCUAACCUUUUUCCUUUUCAGGAGAGAUAAAUAGGGGUCCUGCAUUCACACUGGAAUUACAUGUGCAAGCCCUACAGUGGACUGCUAGGUACUGGAACCACUGACUUGCCUUCCUUUCUCUAUGUAUCCUCAUCUGAAACCAACAGCCUUUGGGGUGACAGGUAGCCUAGUGGUUAGAGCGUUGGACUAGCAACCAAAGGUUGCAAGAUCGAAUCGCUGAGCUGACAAGGCAGUUAACCCACUUUUCCUAGGCCGUCAUUGAUAAUAAGAAUUUGUUCUUAACUGACUUGCCUAGUAAAAUUAAAAUAAAUCAAAAUCCUACCCACUGCUCCAUGUGCUUUUAGGGAAUAUGGACUGUAUUGACUACUUGCUCUGUCAGGACAGGACAAGUUCAGAGGACUUUAUCGACUGAAAAUAAUAAUAUUAAAAAAACAUUGCUCUGGCAGGAAAGGUAACAAUUUGCUUAAGUACUGAGAAAGAGAGGAGAGAGAAGAAAAAGAUGAGAGCAGAGACGAUAUAAUAGUGCCGGAAGGGAUGGCUGCCGUUUUACGGGCUCCUAACCAACUGUGCUAUUUUGAUAGUUUUUUCGCAUUAUUUGUAACUCAUUUUGUACAUAAUGUUGUUCCUACCGUCUCUUAUGACUAAAAAGAGCUUCUGGACAUCAGAACAUUGAUUACUCACCUCGAACUGGAAGAAGAUUUUUAUUUAAUGAGUCCGACGCGAAGGAUAUACUGCUUUGUCAAGACAAGGCCCAAAUCUCCAUCAUCAGCAUGAAGAAAAGACAAAGGAAAAGGGGAAGGAGGGUGGGGUGCCUUGUAAGUAUUUGCAGACGAGUAGGUAAAUCACCACUUCCCUCCAUAUUAUUGGCCAACGUGCAAUCAUUGGAAAACAAACUGGACAAUCUACGAUUAAAUCCUCUUUGGGCAAGGUGGGACACUAGCGUCCCAUCUGGCCAACAUCCAGUGAAAUUGCAGAGCGCCAAAUUCAAAUUACAGAAAUAGUAAUAAUAAACAUUCAUGAAAAUACAAGUGUUAUACAUUGGUUAAAAGAUAAACUUCUUGUUAAUCCAGCCGCUUUGUCAGAUUUCAAAAAGGCUUUACGGCAAAAGCAUACCAUACGAUUAUCUGAGGACAGCGCCCUGCUUACAAAAGCAUACAAACAUUUUCCAACCAAGUAGAGGAGUCACGAAAGUCAGAAAUAGCGAUAAAAUGAAUCACUUACCUUUGAAGAUCUUCAUCUGGUUGCAAUCACACGGGUCCCAGCUACACAAUAAAUGGUUGCUUUGUUCGAUAAAGUCCCUCUUUAUAUCCCAAAAACUCAGUUUUGUUGGCGCGUUUUGUUCAGUAAUCCCCUGGCUCAAAGGUGGUCAAAACAUGCAGACGAAUACACCCUAAUAGUACCGGUAAAGUUAAUCGAAACAUGUCAAACAAUGUUUAUAACUAAUCCUCAGGGUGUCAAUUAUCUAAAUAAUCGAUAAUAUUUCAACCGGACAAUAGCGUAUUCAAUAGAAAGGAAAAACAACAAAGAGCGCACACACAGUUACGCGCGCAAACCUGUACUGCAUGAUUCCAUAGUCCCCUGACCAAAAGGUCUCAUUCUUCUUCAUUUUUCAGAAAACAAGCCUAAAACCAUGUCUAAAGACUGUUGACAUCUAGUGGAAGCCAUAGGAACUGCAAUCUGGGCCCUAACCCAUUACAUAGUCAAUAGGCAUUCAAUGGAAAACCCACUCACAUCAAAUAAAUCCCACUUCCUGGAUGGAUUGUGCUCGGGUUUUCACCUGCCAUAUCAGUUUUGUUAUACUCACAGACAUUAUUUUAACAGUUUUAGAAACUUCAGAGUCUUUUCUAUCCACAUCUACCAAUUAUAUGCAUAUCCUAGCUGCUGGGCCUGAGUAACAGGCAGUUUACUUUGGGCACGCUUGUCAUCUAGACAUCAAAAUACUGCCCCCUAGCCCAAAGAAGUUUUAAGACUAUCCUACCAUUGGGACAUAAAAAAACUGUAAUAUCUUAUGUUUCAGUGAGACGUGCCUGAACGAUGACACCGAUAAUGUAGAGCUGUCUGGCUUAUUCGUGCAUCUGCAGGACAGAGCAGCUACGUCUGCAUGUCACAUGUGCAACCAGAGGAAAAAAAUCUAGACCACCUUUACUCCACACACAGAGACACAUACAAAGCUCUCCCUCGCCUUCCAUUUGGCAAAUCUGACCAUAAUUCUAUCCUCCUGAUUCCUGCUUACAAGCAAAGACUAAAUCAGGAAGUACCAGUGACUCGCUCAAUACGGAAGUGGUCAGAUGACACGGAUGCUGAACUACAGGACUGUUUUACUUGCACAGACUGGAAUAUGUUCCAUGAUUCAUCCAAUGGCAUUGAGGAGUAUACCACCUUAGUCACUGGCUUCAUCUAUAAGUGCAUCGAUGACGUCGUCCCCACAGUGACCGAACGUACAUUUCCCAACCAGAAACCAUGGAUUCUAGGCAACAUCCGCACUGAGCUAAAGGCUAGAGCUGCCACUUUCAAGGAGCAGGACUUUACUCUGACCCUUAUAAGAAAUCCCGCUAUGCCCUCAAACGAACCAUAAAACAGUCAAAGCCUCAGUACAGGACUAAGAUUGAAUCCUACUACACCGGCUCUGACGCUCGUCCGAUGUGGCAAGGCUUGAAAAAUAUUACAGACUACAAAGGGAAACCCAGCCGUGAGCUGCCCAGUGCCACGAGCCUACCAAAUUAGCAAAAUGCCAUUUAUGCUCGCUUCGAGGCAAGCGAUAUUGAAGCAUGCAUGAGAGCACGAGCUGUUCCGGACGACUGUGUGAUUACACAUAGCCAAUGUGAGCAAGACCUUUAAACAGGUCAACAUUCACAAAGCCACGGGGCCAGAUGGAUUACCAGGACGUGUACUCAAAGCAUGCGCGGACCAACUGGCAAGUGUCUUCACUGACAUUUUAAACCUCUCCCUGACCAAGUCUGUAAUACUUACAUGUUAGAAACAGACCACCAUAGUCCCUGUGCCCAAGAAAGCAAAGGUAACCUGUCUAAAUGAUUACCACCCCAUAGCACUCACGUCGGUACCCUUGAAGUGCUUUGAAAGGUUGGUCAUGGCUCACUUCAACACCAUCAUGCCAGAAACCCUAGAAACCAUAGACCCCUUCGCAUACCACCCCAACAGAUCCACAGAUGACACAAUCUCAAUUGCAGUCCACACUGCCCUUUCCCACCUAGACAAAAAUACACCUGUGUGAGCAUGCUGUUCACUGACUACAACUCAGCGUUCAACACCAUAGUGCCCACAAAGCUCAUCAAUAAGCUAAGAACCCUGGAACUAAACACCUCCCUCUGCAACUGGAUCCUGGACUUCCUGACGGGCCGCCCCAGGUGGUAAGGGUAGGCAACAACACAUCUGCCAUGCUGAUCCUCAACACGGGAGCCCCUCAGGGGUGCGUGCUUAGUCCCCUCCUGUACUCCCUGUUCACCCACGACUGCGUGGCCAAGCACGGCUCCAACACCAUCAUUAAGUUUGCUGAUGACACAAUAGUGAUAGGCCUGAUCACCGACAAUGACAAGACAGCCUAUACAGAGGAGGUCAGAGUCCUGGUCGUGUGGUGCCAGGACAACAACCUCUCCCUCAAUGUGAGCAAGACAAAGGAGCUGAUCGUGGACUAAAGGAAAAAGGGGAUGAACAGGCCCCCAUUAACAUCGACAGUCCUGAAGUGGAGCGGGUCCAGAGUUUCAAGUUCCUUGGGGUCCGCAUCACCAACAAACUAUCAUGGUCCAAACACACCAAGACAGUUUGAACGAGGGCACGACACACCUUUUCCCCCUCAAGAGACUGAAUAGAUUUCAGAAAGUUAUACAGCUGCACCAUCGAGAGCAUCCUGACCGGUUGCACCACCGCCUCGUAUGGCAACUGCUUAGCAACUGACCGUAAGGCGCUACAGACGGUAGUGCGUACGGCCGUGUACAUCCCUGGGGCCAAGCUUCCUGACACGCCAGUCACCCAAGUCAAUGACUGUUCUCUCUGCUACCGCACGGCAAGCGGCACCGGAACUCCAAGUCUAGGACCAAAAGGCUCCUUAACAGCUUCUAUCCCCAAGCCAUAAGACUGCUGAGCAAUUAAUCAAAUGGCCACACAGACUAUUUACAUUGACCCCCCCAAAUUACCUGGACUAACAUUGACUUGGUACCGGUUCCCCCCUGUAUAUAGCCUCCUUAUUGUUAUGUAAUUUUCUUGUGUUACCUUUUGAUUAUUAUUAUUUUUUUUUUUUACUUUAGUUAGUGAAUAUUUUCUUAACACUAUUUCUUGAACUGCAUUGUUGGUUAAGGGCUUGUAAGUAAGCAUUUCACAGUAAGGUCUACUACACCUGUUGUAUUCGGCGCAUGUGACAAAUAAAAUUAGAUUUGAUUUGAUUUGAGAUAACGUCAGUGUAGUCAGCAGUGCUACAAUGGGACCCAUGGUGCUAAUGAGUGGUUGCCUAGCAACUGCAUCUAGGGGUGGGCCAGCCAGGUUUUCACAGCAGCACCGUGCCUGGGCAGGGAGGACUUCAGACAUAGCUCAACCCAUGGAUGGAUUCCAUUCUAUUUACUUUACUUUAUUUAUAUACAAUUAAUAAACGUCUAAUAACAUUGUUUUAUCUAUUAAAAGUCUGUUACAGCCUAUGUUUAGAUUUCCAGUAAUUUCAACCAAUGAAUUGUGUGUUCUGUGUUCACAGUGUAUAAUUUUGACUCUGUUUUAUUAAUCGUGUUGUUCUGGCGUUGCACAGCACUGAACAUUGUUAAGUCAAAUGCAUCAGUUCACUUUGCAACAACAGUUUGUCUCCUCUUCUCCAAAGUAUCUAGGCCUAUAUUCAGCCAAAUUGCAGCGCAACAACCUCCAAUAGGAAUCACUCAGCUUUGACACACCCCUCUUUUUAGCUACUGCUACUCUCUGUUCAUCAUAUAUGCAUAGUCACUUAUAUAACCAUACCCGCAUGUACAUACUACCUCAAUAAGCCUGUCUAACCAGUGUCUGUAUAUAGCCUUGCUACUCUUAUUUUCAAAUGUCUUUUUACUGUUGUUUUAUUUCUUUACUUUCCUACACACACACACACACACACACACACACACACACACACACACACACACACACACACACACACACACACACACACACAUACCUUUUUUUUCUCGCACUAUUGGUUAGAGCCUGUAAGUAAGCAUUUCACGGUAAGGUCUACACCUGUUGUAUUCGGCG
rnacentral:lncRNA from 1 species